CCUACGGGUGGCAGCAGUGGGGAAUAUUGGGCAAUGGACGCAAGUCUGACCCAGCAACGCCGCGUGAAGGAAGAAGGCUUUCGGGUUGUAAACUUCUUUUAAGGGGGAAGAGCAGAAGACGGUACCCCUUGAAUAAGCCACGGCUAACUACGUGCCAGCAGCCGCGGUAAUACGUAGGUGGCAAGCGUUGUCCGGAUUUACUGGGUGUAAAGGGCGUGCAGCCGGAGAGACAAGUCAGAUGUGAAAUCCACGGGCUCAACCCGUGAACUGCAUUUGAAACUGUUUCCCUUGAGUGUCGGAGAGGUAAUCGGCAUUCCUAUUGUAGCGGUGCAAUGCGUCGAUCUUAGGCAGACCACCAGUGGCACAGGCUGAUUACUGGACGAUAACUGACGGUGAGGCGCGAAAGCGUGGGGAGCAAACAGGAUUAGAUACCCCUGUAGUC
rnacentral:rRNA from 1 species